UACGUAGGGGGCAAGCGUUGUCCGGAAUCAUUGGGCGUAAAGAGCGUGUAGGCGGUCCGGUCAGUCGGUUGUGAAAGUCAAGGGCUCAACCCUUGAAUGCCGGCCGAUACUGCCGGGCUAGAGUCCGGAAGAGGUGAGUGGAAUUCCUGGUGUAGCGGUGAAAUGCAGAUAUCAGGAGGAACACCGAUGGCGAAGGCAGGUCUCUGGGCCAUUACUGACACUGAGAAGCGAAAGCAUGGGGAGCGAACAGG
rnacentral:rRNA from 1 species